CUUCAGUAGCUCAGUUGGUUAGAGCACCUGACUGUUAAUCAGGGGGGCGUUGGUUCAAGCCCAUCCUGAAGCG
rnacentral:tRNA from 1 species